GCCAUAUCAUAUAGAAACACCCGUUCCCAUACAGCGAAGUUAACCAACGUUGAGCCUGGUCAGUACUUAGAUGGGUGACUGCUUGAAAAUACCAGAUGCUGUAAG